ACGCUGGCGGCAGGCCUAACACAUGCAAGUCGAGCGGUAGAGAGAAGCUUGCUUCUCUUGAGAGCGGCGGACGGGUGAGUAAUGCCUAGGAAUCUGCCUGGUAGUGGGGGAUAACGUUCGGAAACGGACGCUAAUACCGCAUACGUCCUACGGGAGAAAGCAGGGGACCUUCGGGCCUUGCGCUAUCAGAUGAGCCUAGGUCGGAUUAGCUAGUUGGUGGGGUAAUGGCUCACCAGGGCGACGAUCCGUAACUGGUCUGAGAGGAUGAUCAGUCACACUGGAACUGAGACACGGUCCAGACUCCUACGGGAGGCAGCAGUGGGGAAUAUUGGACAAUGGGCGAAAGCCUGAUCCAGCCAUGCCGCGUGUGUGAAGAAGGUCUUCGGAUUGUAAAGCACUUUAAGUUGGGAGGAAGGGCAGUAAAUUAAUACUUUGCUGUUUUGACGUUACCGACAGAAUAAGCACCGGCUAACUCUGUGCCAGCAGCCGCGGUAAUACAGAGGGUGCAAGCGUUAAUCGGAAUUACUGGGCGUAAAGCGCGCGUAGGUGGUUAGUUAAGUUGGAUGUGAAAUCCCCGGGCUCAACCUGGGAACUGCAUUCAAAACUGACUGACUAGAGUAUGGUAGAGGGUGGUGGAAUUUCCUGUGUAGCGGUGAAAUGCGUAGAUAUAGGAAGGAACACCAGUGGCGAAGGCGACCACCUGGACUGAUACUGACACUGAGGUGCGAAAGCGUGGGGAGCAAAC
rnacentral:rRNA from 1 species